rnacentral:misc_RNA from 1 species
GAACGCACCUUGCGCUCCUUGGUAUUCCGAGGAGCAUGCCUGUUUGAGUGUCAUUAAUAUAUCAACCUUCUCUUUUUGAGUGGUUUGGAUGUGGGGGUUUGCUGGCCUUGUAAAGGGUUCAGCUCCCCUGAAAUGCAUUAGCAGAACAACCCUGUUCAUUGGUGUGAUAACUAUCUACGCUAUUGAAUGUAAGGGGGCGGUUCAGCUUUCUAACAGUCCUCGGACAAUUCAUCAUUAAUGUGACCUCAAAUCAGGUAGGACUACCCGCUGAACUUAA